UGAAAAAGGCAGAGGUAGCUUAAUUAAGCUUGAGAAAUACUCUUAGAACCUGAUCUAGUUAAUACUAGCGUAGGAAGUCCUUUAAAAGACAUUA
rnacentral:ncRNA from 2 species